rnacentral:tRNA from 1 species
UCCCUGGAGGACUAGUGGUUAGGCCUUGGCGCUCUCACUGCUGCGGCCUGGGUUCGAUUCCCGGCCAGGGAA